rnacentral:rRNA from 1 species
UACAGAGGUCCCAAGCGUUGUUCGGAUUCACUGGGCGUAAAGGGUGCGUAGGUGGUGAGGUAAGUCGGAUGUGAAAGCUCGGAGCUCAACUCCGAAAUGGCAUUGGAAACUACCUUGCUUGAGGAAUGGAGGGGGGACUGGAAUUCGUCGGUGUAGCAGUGAAAUGCGUAGAUAUCGAGAGGAACACCAGUGGCGAAGGCGGACGUGCCCUGGACAUCUCCUGACACUGAGGCA